rnacentral:rRNA from 1 species
UACGAAGGGUGCUAGCGUUGUUCGGAAUCACUGGGCGUAAAGCGCGCGUAGGCGGCCAUUCAAGUCAGAGGUGAAAUGCCAGAGCUUAACUCUGGAACUGCCUUUGAAACUGUUUGGCUUGAGUACUGGAGGGGAUAGCGGAAUUCCUAAUGUAGAGGUGAAAUUCGUAGAUAUUAGGAGGAACACCGGUGGCGAAGGCGGCUAUCUGGACAGUAACUGACGCUGAGGCGCGAAAGCGUGGGGAUCAAACAGG